rnacentral:rRNA from 1 species
CCUACGGGCGGCAGCAGUGGGGAAUAUUGCACAAUGGGGGAAACCCUGAUGCAGCGACGCCGCGUGAGUGAGGAAGUAUUUCGGUAUGUAAAGCUCUAUCAGCAGGGAAGAAAAUGACGGUACCUGACUAAGAAGCCCCGGCUAACUACGUGCCAGCAGCCGCGGUAAUACGGAGGGGGCAAGCGUUAUCCGGAUUUACUGGGUGUAAAGGGAGCGUAGACGGUUAAUCAAGUCAGAAGUGAAAACCCAGGGCUCAACCUUGGGACUGCUUUUGAAACUGAGUAGCUAGAGGGCAGGAGAGGUGAGCGGAAUUCUGAGUGGAGCGGUGAAAUGCGUAGAUAAUAGGAGGAACACCAGGGGCGAAGGCGGCUUACGGGACUGUAACUGACGUUGAGGCUCGAAAGCGUGGGGAGCAAACAGGAUUAGAUACCCCAGUAGUC